UGCCCGGAGAUGGAUUCUGAGACACGAAUCCAGACCCUACGGGGUGCAGCAGGCGCGAAAACUUGGCAAUGCGAGCAAUCGUGACCAGGGAACUCCAAGUGCGUAGGGUAAGACCUACGCUUUUCUUGACUCUUCAAAGGUCUUGGAAUAAGGGGUGGGUAAGGACGGUGCCAGCCGCCGCGGUAAUACCGGCGCCUCAAGUGGUAGUCGCUUUUAUUGGGCCUAAAACGUCCGUAGCCGGUCUGGUGCAUUCGUGGGUAAAUCAACCCGCUCAACGGGUUGAAUUCUGCGAGCACGGCCAGACUUGGGACCGGGAGAGGUGUGGGGUACUCUCAGGGUAGGGGUAAAAUCCUGUCAUCCUGAGAGGACCACCUGUUGCGAAGGCGCCACACUAGAACGGAUCCGACGGUCAGGGACGAAACCUAGGGGCACGAACCGGAUUAGAUACCCGGGUAGUCCUAGGUGUAAACGCUGUGGACUUGAUGUUGGGGGUGCUCCGAGCUCCCUCAGUGUCGAAGCGAAGGUGAUAAGUCCACUGCCUGGGGAGUACGGUCGCAAGGCUGAAACUUAAAGGAAUUGGCGGGGGAGCACUGCAACCUGAGGAUUGUGCGGUUUAAUUGGACUCAACGCCGGGA
rnacentral:rRNA from 1 species